rnacentral:rRNA from 1 species
AUGAACGCUGGCGGCGUGCCUCAUACAUGCAAGUCGAGCGAACAGAUGAGGAGCUUGCUCCUCUGACGUUAGCGGCGGACGGGUGAGUAACACGUGGAUAACCUACCUAUAAGACUGGGAUAACUUCGGGAAACCGGAGCUAAUACCGGAUAAUAUAUUGAACCGCCUGGUUCAAUAGUGAAAGACGGUUUUGCUGUCACUUAUAGAUGGAUCCGCGCCGCAUUAGCUAGUUGGUAAGGUAACGGCUUACCAAGGCGACGAUGCGUAGCCGACCUGAGAGGGUGAUCGGCCACACUGGAACUGAGACACGGUCCAGACUCCUACGGGAGGCAGCAGUAGGGAAUCUUCCGCAAUGGGCGAAAGCCUGACGGAGCAACGCCGCGUGAGUGAUGAAGGUCUUCGGAUCGUAAAACUCUGUUAUUAGGGAAGAACAAAUGUGUAAGUAACUAUGCACGUCUUGACGGUACCUAAUCAGAAAGCCACGGCUAACUACGUG